GGAGAUCUGCACAUAUUGUCCCCACCAACAAGACUAAGAUAUAAUGUAGUCAGUCCUGACAGCGUACAGAUCUCUUGGAAAGCCCCCAAAGGGCAAUUCAGUGGAUAUAAGCUUCUUGUCACUCCAAGUUCAGGUGGGAAAACCAAUCAAUUAGUUCUUCAAAACACUGCAACCAAAGCAAUUAUUCAAGGUCUUAUUCCAGAUCAAAACUAUGCCCUUCAGAUCAUUGCAUUCAGUGAAGACAAGGAGAGUAAGCCAGCACAAGGCCAGUUCAGAAUUAAAGAUAUAGAGAGAAGAAAAGAAACAAGUAAAUCCAAGGUGAAGGAUCCAGAAAAAACAAAUGCGAGUAAACCAGCUCCAGAAGGAAGCCUGUUUACGUGUAAAACUCCAGCAAUUGCAGAUAUUGUGAUACUGGUGGAUGGUUCUUGGAGUAUUGGCAGGUUCAAUUUCAGACUUGUUCGACUGUUCCUGGAAAAUCUGGUUUCUGCUUUCAAUGUGGGAUCUGAGAAAACAAGAGUAGGUCUUGCACAGUACAGUGGUGAUCCCCGAAUUGAAUGGCAUUUGAAUGCCUAUGGCACAAAAGAUGCUGUUUUGGAUGCAGUCCGCAAUUUGCCAUAUAAGGGAGGGAAUACAUUAACAGGUCUUGCCUUAACUUAUAUUUUGGAAAACAGCUUUAAGCCUGAAGCAGGUGCAAGACCUGGAGUAUCUAAAAUUGGUAUACUCAUCACUGAUGGAAAGUCCCAAGAUGAUGUUAUCCCUCCUGCUAAAAACUUACGAGAUGCUGGCAUUGAGCUGUUUGCUAUUGGUGUAAAGAAUGCAGAUAUAAAUGAACUCAAAGAGAUUGCCUCUGAGCCCGACAGCACGCACGUCUACAACGUUGCUGACUUUAACUUCAUGCAUACCAUUGUUGAAGGUCUUACCAGAACAGUGUGCUCACGAGUAGAGGAACAGGAAAAGGAAAUCAAAGGAACAAUUGUUGCUUCACUUGGGGCUCCUUCGGAUUUGGUCACAUCCGAGGUAACAGCUAGAGGAUUCCGGGUUAGCUGGACACAUGCACCAGGAAAAGUUGAAAAAUACAGGGUUGUGUACUAUCCCACUCGAGGAGGACAACCAGAAGAGGUUGUGGUAGAUGGAAGCUUAUCGACAGCAGUGCUGAAAAACCUAAUGUCUUUGACUGAAUACCAGAUAGCUGUGUUUGCAAUAUACUCCAAUGCUGCUAGUGAGGGCCUCCGUGGAACUGAAACUACACUUGCCUUGCCAAUGGCGUCAGAUCUGCAAUUGUAUGAUGUGUCACAGAGCAGCAUGAGAGCAAAGUGGAAUGGAGUGGCGGGUGCCACAGGUUACAUGAUCCUAUAUGCUCCCCUCACGGAAGGACUGGCAGCAGAUGAGAAGGAGAUAAAAAUUGGGGAGGCCUCAACAGAUCUUGAACUGGAUGGACUAUUGCCAAAUACAGAAUAUACAGUCACAGUUUAUGCCAUGUUUGGAGAAGAAGCUAGUGAUCCCCUUACAGGACAAGAAACUACAUUGCCUCUAAGUCCACCAGCAAACUUGAAAUUUUCUGAUGUUGGACACAGUAGUGCUAAGCUAACGUGGGAUCCUGCUUCCAAAAAUGUAAAUGGCUAUCGCAUCAUGUACGUUAAAACAGAUGGAACAGAAACCAAUGAGGUGGAAGUUGGUCGUGUUUCAACCCAUACUCUAAAAAGCCUGACAUCCCUUACAGAGUACACUGUUGCUAUUUUCUCCCUGUAUGAUGAAGGACAAUCUGAACCACUUACUGGCAGCUUUACCACAAAAAGAGUUCCAGCUCCCCAGCAUUUGGAAAUUGAUGAAGCAUCAACAGAUAGUUUUAGGGUCAGCUGGAAGCCCACCUCCUCAGAUAUUGCUUUUUACAGAUUGGCAUGGAUUCCUUUGGACGGGGGGGAUUCUGAAGAGGUUGUCAUAAAUGGAGAUGCAGACAGUCACGUUAUUGAGGGUUUGUUGCCCAACACAGAAUAUGAAGUUUCUUUGCUGGCAGUUUUUGACGAUGAAACGGAAAGUGAAGCUGUUGCUGUUCUUGGAGCUACAUUUUUUCGAACAGGAAUCAGAAACCUUGUUAUAGACGAUGAAACAACCUCAAGCCUGAGGGUGAUGUGGGACAUUUCAGAUUACAGUGUUCAGCAGUUCAGAGUGACCUAUCUCACUGCGAAAGGAGACCGUGCUGAGGAAGCGGUAAGAAUGGUAAUGGUGCCGGGGAGACAAAAUACUUUUCUGCUUCAGCCUCUGAUGUCUGACACAGAAUACAAAGUUACCAUCACUCCCAUCUACUCUGAUGGGGAAGGAGUCAGUGUCUCAGCUCCUGGCAAAACUUUACCCCUGUCUGCUCCUAGGAAUUUACGUGUGUCAGAUGAAUGGUACAACAGAUUACGCAUCAGUUGGGAUGCCCCGCCAUCACCCACAAUGGGUUACAGAAUUGUCUACAAACCUAUCAACAUUCCUGGUCCUGCAUUGGAGACCUUUGUAGGGGAUGAUAUUAAUACCAUUCUUGUUCUAAAUCUCUUCAGUGGAACGGAGUACAGUGUUAAAGUAUUUGCUUCAUACUCAACAGGCUUCAGUGAUGCCCUAACAGGCGUAGCCAAAACCUUGUACCUGGGUGUGACAAAUUUGGAUUCCUAUCAAGUCCGCAUGACUAGCCUCUGCGCUCAGUGGCAGCUUCACAGACAUGCCACUGCGUACAGGGUUGUUAUAGAGUCGCUUGUGGAUGGGAAGAAGCGAGAGGUAAAUCUUGGUGGAGGGACGCCUAGACAUUGUUUCUUUGAGCUGAUGCCUGGAACUGAAUAUAAAAUCAGUGUUCAUGCACAGCUUCAGGAGAUAGAGGGCCCUGCUGUAAGCAUCAUGGAGACAACAUUACCAUUUCCAACUCAACCACCAACAACACCUUCAACACCACCUCCACCACCUACAAUCCCUCCUGCGAAAGAGGUGUGCAAAGCAGCCAAAGCUGACCUAGCGUUCCUGGUGGAUGGGUCAUGGAGUAUUGGAGAUGACAAUUUCAAUAAAAUAAUCAGCUUUCUCUACAGCACUGUUGGAGCUUUGGAUAAGAUUGGUCCUGAUGGAACGCAGGUGGCGAUAAUUCAGUUCAGUGAUGAUCCCAGGACAGAAUUUAAAUUGAAUGCAUAUAAAACAAAAGAGACUCUUCUUGAAGCUAUUCAGCAAAUAGCCUACAAAGGAGGGAAUACAAAAACAGGCAAAGCCAUUAAACAUGCAAGAGAAGUCUUGUUUACGGGAGAGGCGGGCAUGAGGAGGGGCAUUCCGAAGGUUUUGGUUGUCAUUACUGAUGGGCGAUCACAGGACGAUGUGAACAAAGUCUCCAGAGAAAUGCAACUGGAUGGUUUCAGCUUUUUUGCUAUUGGAGUAGCUGAUGCUGACUAUUCGGAGUUAGUUAAUAUUGGCAGCAAACCCAGUGAAAGACAUGUCUUCUUUGUGGAUGACUUUGACGCCUUCACAAAGAUUGAAGAUGAGCUGAUCACUUUUGUUUGUGAAACUGCAUCAGCAACCUGCCCAUUGGUAGUUAAAGAUGGCAACAAUUUUGCAGGAUUUAAAAUGAUGGAAAUGUUUGGUUUGGUUGAAAAGGAGUUUUCAGCUGUGGAAGGGGUUUCAAUGGAACCCGGUACAUUUAAUGUUUACCCAUGCUACAGACUGCACAAGGAUGCCCUGGUAUCCCAGCCUACCAAGUAUUUGCAUCCUGAAGGUCUUCCUUCUGAUUACACCAUUACGUUUCUCUUUCGUAUCCUCCCCGACACACCUCAAGAGCCAUUUGCUCUUUGGGAGAUUUUAAAUGAAGCAUAUGAACCACUGGUUGGAGUUAUUUUAGAUAAUGGUGGCAAAACUCUGACUUUCUUUAACUACGACUACAAAGGAGAUUUUCAAACUGUCACGUUUGAAGGUCCUGAAAUAAGGAAGAUAUUUUAUGGGAGCUUUCAUAAGUUGCAUGUUGUUAUCAGCAAGACUACGGCUAAAAUAAUUAUUGACUGCAAGCAAGUGAGUGAGAAGACCAUUAAUGCAGCAGGGAAUAUCAGUUCUGAUGGCAUAGAAGUGCUGGGGAGGAUGGUCAGAUCCAGAGGACCAAGAGAUAACUCUGCACCACUGCAGUUACAGAUGUUUGACAUUGUUUGUGCUACCUCAUGGGCCAAUCGGGACAAAUGCUGUGAGCUUCCUGGCUUGAGAGAUGAAGAAAACUGUCCUGCCCUUCCUCAUGCUUGUUCCUGCUCAGAAGCUAAUAAGGGUCCCCUUGGACCUCCUGGUCCACCGGGACCAGAUGGACCUCGAGGUGAAAUUGGUGUUCCCGGACCACAAGGACCUCCAGGACCACAAGGACCCAGUGGACUUUCUAUUCAAGGGCUUCCAGUGAGACUUACAAAAUCAAUAUGUUAUGACACUGCUCCUGUUGUUGUCCAGGGUGAUCUCCAGUCCCAAGCAAUGGUGCGUGCUGUUGCUCGGCAAGUGUGUGAGCAACUCAUCCAGGGUCAUAUGGCAAGAUAUAACUCAAUUCUGAACCAGAUUCCAAGCCAGUCUGUCUCAACCCGAACCAUCGCAGGACCCCCUGGUGAGCCAGGUCGGCCAGGGGCUCCAGGGCCACAAGGAGAACAAGGUUCCCCAGGCAUGCAAGGGUUUCCAGGAAGUCCCGGUCAACCAGGAAGACCAGGAGAAAGAGGUUUACCAGGCGAGAAGGGAGAAAAAGGCAAUCCAGGAGUUGGAACACAAGGACCCCGAGGCCCACCAGGAUCUACAGGACCUCCAGGAGAAAGUCGAACUGGCAGCCCGGGACCACCAGGUUCUCCAGGCCCACGAGGUCCCCCCGGCCACACGGGGCCCCCGGGUUCCCAGGGUCCUUCAGGCCCGCCGGGGUACUGCGACCCGUCCUCCUGCGCGGGGGUGGCAUUUCCUAACAGCCAAAAUAAGAUGGAGACUACUGGCCAACCUUGGUAG
rnacentral:lncRNA from 1 species